rnacentral:ncRNA from 2 species
CGCCCAUCAACAGCGCCAUGCGCCCGGAAAGAAACUCCGCAGGAGCGGAACUUUCGGGAUAACGAGGAGAGGGGAGUAUCGAAACUUCGGCGGGUGCCCCUCCGUGGCCGCAGCCAUGUGACAGGUUCUACAAAUACGGGGGCGACCCCGGAACAGAAGGAAUCUGACUGCGGAGA